rnacentral:rRNA from 1 species
UUCAAGAGUACGUGAAACCGUCCAGGGGUAAACCUGCGAAACUCGAAUGAACGAACGGAGAGAUUCAUCGUCACUCCCCGGCGCACGCGGGCCGGCUCGAUGACGUCGGCCUCGGCCGGCGGCACGCGCCGCCAGCGUCGCGUCCGGGGACGGCGUGCACUUCUCUCCCAGUAAUACAUCGCGACCCGUUCGAUGUCGAUCUAAGCGCCCCCCGGGAGCCUUCGCCCCCUCGCCGGGGCGGAGACCGCGGGGUGUCGCCGACCGGCCGUCGGACGGUAUACGUAACGAAACGCGCACGCGCUCGCGCGCGUCCGGCCCGACGCAAGGCACCGUCGUAGCCCGCGUCCUGCCCGAGUGCGGACGAGGGUGCGGCGCGCCUGUCGUCGCAGCCGUGCUGUCUCGGACUGUGCGCGUCUCCGUCUGCGAUGAUUCAGUUUCGGGCACUCGCAGGACCCGUCU